rnacentral:rRNA from 1 species
GUGGGGAAUAUUGGGCAAUGGGCGAAAGCCUGACCCAGCAACGCCGCGUGAAGGAAGAAGGUUUUCGGAUCGUAAACUUCUAUCCUUGGUGAAGAUAAUGACGGUAGCCAAGAAGGAAGCCCCGGCUAACUACGUGCCAGCAGCCGCGGUAAUACGUAGGGGGCAAGCGUUGUCCGGAAUGAUUGGGCGUAAAGGGCGCGUAGGCGGCCCGGUAAGUCUGAAGUGAAAGUCCUGCUUUUAAGGUGGGAAUUGCUUUGGAUACUGUCGGGCUUGAGUGCAGGAGAGGUAAGCGGAAUUCCCGGUGUAGCGGUGAAAUGCGUAGAGAUCGGGAGGAACACCAGUGGCGAAGGCGGCUUACUGGACUGUAACUGACGCUGAGGCGCGAAAGUGUGGGGAGCAAACAGGAUUAGAAUCCCGAGUAGUCC